GUAGGGAAUAUUGGGCAAUGGCCGCGAGGCUGACCCAGCCAUGCCGCGUGCAGGAAGAAGGCCUUCUGGGUUGUAAACUGCUUUUGUACGGGAAGAAAACGCCCCUGCGGGGGUAACUGACGGUACCGUGCGAAUAAGCACCGGCUAACUCCGUGCCAGCAGCCGCGGUAAUACGGAGGGUGCAAGCGUUGUCCGGAUUUAUUGGGUUUAAAGGGUGCGUAGGCGGCCCGUUAAGUCAGCGGUGAAAUCCCGGGGCUCAACCCCGGAACUGCCGUUGAUACUGGCGGGCUUGAGUUCGGUCGAGGCGGGCGGAACUGGCGGUGUAGCGGUGAAAUGCUUAGAUACCGCCAAGAACCCCAAUUGCGCAGGCAGCUCGCUGGGCCGAAACUGACGCUGAGGCACGAAAGCGUGGGGAGCGAACAGGAUUAGAAACCCGGGUAGUCC
rnacentral:rRNA from 1 species